AACAGCCUGACCAAAGAGGUGAGAGUGGGUGCUCUGCUCCAGAAAUGCUUCCAAGAAGGAUGCAACAGAGUGUUCAGGAAAGGUUCAAAGUUCCUUCGCUCUCCCAAUGUGGCCCCUCAUUCAAGACACAGGCUUCUCCUUCUCCUUUUAGACCAGUUCCCUGAAAACAUCAGACUAAUGACUAGUCCAUCCUGGAUGGUUGCAUGAAUGAGGAAAUUUGCAAAAACAGUUCUGGCAGGAUGUCUAGUGAGUUUGUGUGCCCCUAUGCCUAAUAUGGAGAGGAGAGACGAGAACCGGAGAGCUGGGAUGCUGGAAUAGCCUGCACGCCACAGAUCGACAAAGCAAGACAUUUUCAUGGACCCUACAGCUCACAGGGCUUAAUUUUGUUUCUCAACCAAAAUGCCAAGAUCAAGCUGAGCUGAA